rnacentral:rRNA from 1 species
UACGUAGGGGGCUAGCGUUGUCCGGAUUUAUUGGGCGUAAAGAGCUCGUAGGCGGCCUGUCGCGUCGGAUGUGAAAGCCCGGGGCUCAACCCCGGGUCUGCAUUCGAUACGGGCAGGCUGGAGUGUGGUAGGGGAGAUCGGAAUUCCUGGUGUAGCGGUGAAAUGCGCAGAUAUCAGGAGGAACACCGGUGGCGAAGGCGGAUCUCUGGGCCAUUACUGACGCUGAGGAGCGAAAGCGUGGGGAGCGAACAGG